UGGGGUGUUGCUCCACGGUGAGAGCCACAGACUGUAAAUCUGUCACCAUAAGGUUAAGUAGGUUCGACUCCUACCACCCCAA
rnacentral:tRNA from 1 species